rnacentral:rRNA from 1 species
GAUGAACGCUGGCGGCGUGCUUAACACAUGCAAGUCGAACGCAGUGGCGAACGGGUGAGUAACACGUGAGUAACCUGCCCUUGACUUCGGGAUAAGCCCGGGAAACUGGGUCUAAUACUGGAUAGUUGGGGAUGGACUCGCGGCCUAUCAGUUUGUUGGUGGGGUAAUGGCCUACCAAGACGACGACGGGUAGCCGGCCUGAGAGGGUGACCGGCCACACUGGGACUGAGAGACGGUCCAGACUCCUACGGGAGGCAGCAGUGGGGAAUAUUGCACAAUGGGCGCAAGCCUGAUGCAGCGACGCCGCGUGAGGGAUGACGGCCUUCGGGUUGUAAACCGCUGUCAGUAGGGAAGCGUUACUCGCAGAAGAAGCACCGGCUAACUCCGUGCCAGCAGCCGCGGUAAUAC